UCGCGAGGUGAAGCAAAUCCCAAAAAAGUAGUCUCAGUUCAGAUUGUAGGCUGCAACUCGCCUACAUGAAGUCGGAAUUGCUAGUAAUCGCGGAUCAGCAUGCCGCGGUGAAUACGUUCCCGGGCCUUGUACACACCGCCCGUCACACCAUGAGAGCCGGUAACACCCGAAGUCAGUAGCCUAACCGCAAGGGGGGCGCUGCCGAAGGUGGGAUUGGUAAUUGGGGUGAAGUCGUAACAAGGUAUC
rnacentral:rRNA from 1 species